rnacentral:rRNA from 1 species
GAACGCUAGCGGCAGGCCUAACACAUGCAAGUCGAACGGUAAGGACCAUUUCGGUGGUUACACGAGUGGCGCACGGGUGAGUAACGCGUAUGCAACCUACCUUUAACAGGGGGAUAGCCCGAAGAAAUUCGGAUUAAUACCGCAUAAUAUUAUAUUAACACAUGUUAAGAUACUAAAAGCUUCGGCGGUUAAAGAUGGGCAUGCGUGACAUUAGCUAGUUGGUGAGGUAACGGCUCACCAAGGCAACGAUGUCUAGGGGGCCUGAGAGGGUAGUCCCCCACACUGGUACUGAGACACGGACCAGACUCCUACGGGAGGCAGCAGUGAGGAAUAUUGCGCAAUGGGGGAAACCCUGACGCAGCAACGCCGCGUGGAGGAAGAAGGCCUUCGGGUCGUAAACUUCUUUUCUGAGGGAAGAGGAAGGACGGUACCUCAGGAAUAAGGCCCGGCUAACUACGUGCCAGCAGCCGCGGUAACACGUAGGGGCCAAGCGUUAUCCGGAAUUACUGGGCGUAAAGCGCGCGUAGGCGGUUAUAUAAGUCGGAUGUGAAAUACCUGGGCUCAACCUGGGAACUGCAUUCGAUACUGUAUAACUAGAGUUUGGUAGAGGGAAGUGGAAUUCCACAUGUAGCGGUGAAAUGCGUAGAUAUGUGGAGGAACACCAGUGGCGAAGGCGACUUCCUGGACCAAAACUGACGCUGAGGUGCGAAAGCGUGGGUAGCAAACAGGAUUAGAUACCCUGGUAGUCCACGCUGUAAACGAU